CUAACAGAGAAUUUCUCGCAUUCUAAUAAACUAGGAGAAGGUGGAUUUGGAUCUGUUUAUAAGGGUAAGCUCUCCAAUGGACAAAUGAUUGCUGUGAAGAGGUUAUCGAAGGACUCAGGCCAAGGAGAUAUGGAAUUCAGGAAUGAAGUGCAAUUAUUAGCCGAGCUUCAACACCAAAAUUUAGUUAAGCUUCUUGGUUUUUGCUUGAAAGGAAGUGAAAGGUUACAUAUCUAUGAAUUUAUUCCCAAUAAAAGCCUUGAUUACUUCCUAUUUGAUCCAACCAAGCGCAGACAAUUGGAUUGGAUAAAUAGAUUCAAACUCAUUGAAA